ensembl:lncRNA
AUGCGGUGUUUGGGGAGCUCUCGCUGGGCCCCCGCACGUGGCUUGGAGCCGCCGUGGUCUCCGGCACCUGGGAGCGCCGCAGCCCGGAGCACGGCGCGUGCUUCGGUUGGGAGUCUCCACCACCUCCUUACUCUCGGCUGUCUCCUAAUGAUGAGCAAAAGCCACUGGAUCUAUCGGAUUCCACGUUGUCUUACACUGAAACAGAGGCUACAAACUCGCCCAACGUCACGCCCGGAGAGUUCUCAGGUUGGCAGGCGCUUGUGCUCCCGGGGAGCUCGGGGACUGGAGGAGGAGGAGGAGAAGCAGCAGGAGGAGAAUGGGGGGGGGGAGGGGGGGGUUGUGCUGCGCCCUCCCCGUGCUCGGCAUGAACGGGGAGAGCGAGGGCUCAGGGCGGCUGCUCGGAGACGUGCGGGCUGCGAUGGGGUGCCGCCGGUGGUGGCACGCGGGGACACUCGGGUGGUGGCUGUGUGUGGCCACGCGUGGCCCUGGGGUAGGCGUGGACCCGCUGUCCCCACUGGGGUGGCGGUGAGGCUGUAUCCACCGCGGUGCUGCCGCGCUGUGCUCUCGGGGUCCGUGCAGCACACAGCCUGCCCUCCCUGCCGCGGCCGGGCCCUGCGCUGCAAGCUGCAGAGCCGUCGAGGCUCCCAAGCAGAGCUUUGCUUAAUGAGGCCCCGGCUUCGCCCUGCCCCACCCCUGCACCCUUUCUUGCGUUUCUGGUGCGCAGGCACCGCCGGAGGCGGUUUUGCCUUGGAGCAGAGGAUCAGGACGCGGAUCCGCGUGGCGCUAGGGCUGUGCUUGUUGGUCGACCUUCUCCAGCCGUGCGGCAGGGAGGAGGCCAGAAGGGACCCACCCGUCCGUGGGACCUGCUCGUUUCCAUGCCAGAAAGGACUUGGUGCGAGGCAGGGCCUGGCAGCUAGGGUCGGGGUGCACAAACCCACUGAGCUGCCUGGGGCUGAGCACCCGGCCAGGUUUGGUGCUCGCUGGGGCCGGUGCAAGCGGACGGGGUGGCGGUGACGUGGCUGGUUCGGCAAAACCCACUCCCCGAGGAUGCUCAAGCCUUCAAGCGGCGUGGCGUGGCGUUGUUGUGAUCGCACGGCACGUGGCCCUGUGGGCAUUUUUUCGGGAUGGGUCUGUAUGGGAGGCUCCCCGGUGGCCACAGGUCCUGCCGUGUGCAUGCCGGGGUCUUGCCGUGUGCGUGCCGCGUGGCACUGCCAAGUGGCCACGGCAGGGGAACAAUUGAUAGGAGCGAGGUCAGCCAGCGCUGUGCCGCGAUAAACGUGUGCUCCCAGCGCCCAGCAAACAUCUCUCGGGCUGGAUCCGUCCCCGUAAAGCUCCCCGUGCCCGUGGCUUUUAUUGUAACUUGAUAAUAGCCAUUAAUUAUAGCGGCGGAGUUUUAAAAGCAGGGUUCCUGAGGAUGUAAUGGUUUAGCUUCUAUCACAGCUGAGUUCUUUAUGGGACAUCUGGUGGGUUUUCUGGACUGGAAGGGAGACUUUAACUUUUACUCGAACAAUAUAACGAUAACAUGUGACCAGGAUCGGGCUGAAAUCGGAUCCCUGCUCUCCCCCUGCGUGGUUUCAAAUGGUGUAACUUUUAAUAAGAGUCUGGGGCUGCGUGAUUUAUUUUUCCCCAGUGCUCCUGAUGGCUGAAAGAGGAUAAGAGCUUCACUGAAAUUAACCCGUACUUGUCAUCACCGCAGAGUAAAAGGGAAAAAAAAAAGCACUUAGGCCGUGGUCUCUCUGCCAUGUUUCGGUUUGUUUAUUCUCCAUCCCGACUUGUUUAAUGGGCCGGUGCAAACGGCACACAAAGCACGCGGCCUGCCCUGCCCGCGUUGUGUGUACCGAAGGAAGGAACUGUGCAUUUAGCUCCCCUUCCAAAAAUAAGGACGUUUUGGACCUAGCAUCAAGCCGCUACUAUUUAUUGCUCCGGCUUUGAUCAUCAAAAAGGCUUUUCCUCCGAAAACCACAAGAUUCAGUUUGGGGUAACAAAGAGCGCCAUUCUUGUGCUGUUGCUCGUUUGCUUGACGGACUUCUAAACGGGAAGCUUUAGCGUGAAGUAGAAAGAUCAUCUCUUCAUACGUACAAAAACUGAAAAUGCUGUUUGAAGCAGGCCUUUUCAUGGUUAUAACAGGGAUCUUUACAGUCUGAAAGGCUGAAGCCUGAGGUUUGGGCCACAACAUAGGGUUGUCUGCCCAUGGGUAACCCUGCGGAGAGCGGGUUUCGGGAGCGUACGUGACCGGGUUGGGAGCGCUUCAUGUUCCUCAGUCAAGUGCAAUGGUCGGGAAGGGCCUGGGGUGGUGGAGGAGGCACUUGGAGGUCUUUGAUCCCAAGUUUCCAGGAGCUGAAGCAUCACCACGUUUAGGCACACAGGAGUUUGCGGGGUGUCUGCCUCUUGGCUGCGUGAGAUUUACCGGUGCAGCCGGAUCCUGGGGAUCCAUCGGGGCUGGUCCCCGGGGGGAUCUGAAGAGGAAAACCUGGUGUUUCGUGGUCCUGUGGAGCCCAGGCAGGUUUCUGUGGGCAGGCUCGCAGGGACAGGCAGCCACGUGGGGACACCCAGGUCACUGCCCUGGCCUGGGGCUGCCGGCGGUGGCUCCGUGCCGCGGUCACCCAGGGGGGCACAUCCGCAGCCCAGCUCACUGGGACAGGGCUGGGGAAAUACCAGGGAAAGGGCAAAAUCCAGCGAGGCAGAAACAAAGCUCAGCCCCGUGACUCAUAACUGGUGGAACAUUUGUAGUAAUUUCUCUCUCUUUUUUUUUUUUUUUCCCCUCUUCCCCUCAGACUUGGCUCCUCCAGCAGUGCCAAGAAGCUGCUGUACCCGUUAGACUCGCCAGGCUUGUAGAGGGCUGCGCGGCUCUGCAAACUGGUUCGGGGUGCUGGGGCCGGGCUGCAGCAGCGAGCAGCCCGGCCCCGGGGGCUUUGCCGUUCCCUGCCUCCCCCAGGGCUCUUCCUCACCCCGAAAGACCCCGUUCCUCGCCUUCCCAGUGGACAAAACCUCGUAAAUUUGUAUGAGCAGCGAUCCCGAGAUGCUGUGGUCUUGUUCAUGGUGGCGUCGAGCUCUCCAAGGGCUGUGCUGGAGCCAGGGCAGGAGCAGGGGCGGCGGUGCUGCUUGCCAGGAGCAGUUUGUGGAGCAGUUCGUCCAUCCUCUGGAGGCUGUGGGAUCGUGUUGGGGCAUUGCUUUUCCUCGAGCAGCUCUCGGGACGGGGAGGUCUGAGCCGCAGGAGCAGGCAGCAGCCCGACGAUGCCGCGUGCAGCUCCCGCGGCAGCCGGUGCCAAGCCUUUGUGCUCGCUCCUCUGCCCCGAAACGAGCCGCUUGUCACGCCGCCUCGCCUCGUGUGCCGCCGCACGCCCGCUCCUUGUUCCUCGCCUAGCCGGGAGCCGUAGAAAUCUUUGCGCGGAAAAGCUGCAUUGUUCGGAGGGCAAGGCCUUUGGGAAUCGGCGCUGCCUGCGAGGCUCGAGCCCCGCGUGUGGCAGGGCUUUGCAGCGGGGAACGGCUCCUCGCCAUGCCUCCACGCCUCCCUCCCGCACGGUCCCCUUGCUACAAGCCCUGUCGAGGGCUUGUGCCUGCACCCGGGGGCUCUGCAGGAGGCGCCGGGGAAGAUGCUGCCGUAGGUGUUCCAAAACCGGCGUGCUGCUCGGUUCAGAAAUGAAUUCGCUUCCCCUGUGCUCAGGCUCUUUGAGAGUUUCAGCCCUGGUGGGCUCGCUCGUAGCGUCCGAAGGGUGCGGCUGGGACACUGAUAAAGGUCUGGGAUGAAUUUGGGGCAUUUGGGAGCCUCGUCCGAAAGGAUGGAGCUGGUGCGGAAACACACGAAUGGAUCCAAAACCUGGAAAAUGAAAGGCUUGUGUGCAGAGCUGGGCUCCGCCAAAGGAUGCGCUCUGCAUUACUCCGACGUUGGCAGAGGACAAGCGUGAAUUAACAGAGAGUGGAGAAACCGAGACCGAGUGGGCCAGAGCUCAUUUAAAUCAUUUUUUUUCGAGGCCUGGGAGGCCAGAGGAGCUGCUCGUGGUGGCGGUGGGAUGCGGGGACGGCGUCCCUGUGUGCCUCGGGGUGGCUCAGCCCCGCUGCAGUGAUGGCCCGGCUACAAACGGAGAGCUGCAGGGUGGCUUUCUCUGCUUCCAGCAGCCUUGGGGCGAUCUUCGGGAAGCGUAUUUCCAAAUGCACUGAAUGGAGAAAGUGAGCGUCUCCCUUCCUCUCCCCCCAGAAAUAACAGGCCGCGAGGAUUUAUGCUAACAAGGAAAUUUAUGAAGAUCCUCUGUGUUAGGGAUAGGAAAAAAAAAAAAAAGCCUAUAAAUAUGUAAGGCGGAUGUGUGUGGAAACUGGGCAAACACUGCCCUUUCCAGACUGGGGGAGAGACUGGGAAAUUACCUGCUAAUAGAAAACCUGGUAUUUUUCUCGUUAGUCGGGUGGCAGUUUCUGCUGGAGGUGAUGAGGCCGGGGGGGGUUUGCAGUGGGUUUGGGAACAUUUUGGGGCUGGGGGCUGAAGCUGGGACCGGGCAGCAUCGCCGAGCCUCUUCCUCCUGUCUGCCUCCGUCCUGCUACAGCAAACAGACAUCCCUCCUAAAAAACGAGCGGAGCGUAUCUGUGCAUCCAGCUUAAUCACAGACAGAUGUUUAUUUGGGCCAGUAAUGGUUUUGGUUUCCUUUUUCUUUCAUAUUUAACUUAAAGCUCGCUGGCGUGUCUGACUCGGAGCAGUCCAUAACAAUCAGGGUUUGGCUAAAAGGUUUUCUCGUCGGAGGAGCGCGCGCGUUGCCAAGAGCUACUUCUUUGAUGCAAAAAAAUACAUCCUGGAGGUGCUUUGUCAGAUGUUUUUAUAUUAAACAUUUUUCCUCCAUAGUUUUAAGUUUGCCAACGGGAAAUAAAGUGCAUCUAUUUUCCA